CAAAUUACCCUGAAAGCUGGUAAAGUUUGAAACAUGUUGAAGGAGGGAUUCCAAGCAAUAACAAAGAAAUAAACAAAGUGCAGAAUGUUCCAGAUAGAUUAUAAAGGCAAAACCAGAUUAUCUAAGAGCCUGCACAGCAAUCUUGAAGAUCCACUUACCAUGAAUGUGUGAGUGGCCUCCUGUGAUUUCUCUUCUUGUGACUUUACUGUAUGUUAAGAAGAGACCAAGCAACUCUGAAUCAGGCAUGCAUGCUGCUCUGUGAACCAUCACAGCCAAAUUUUAUUCAAACACAAUCUGUAACCUCAUCGCCCAACAUAUCCCCCAUUUUACUAUUACUGCCACAUCAGGGAUUAAUGCUGGCUCAAUGAGCAGUGUAGGAGAGCACAGGACCAAAUAGCAGAAACAGCAUGCAACAGACAGAGCUGAACAAUCCCUCAACCAACAAAUUAGAUCAAAGCUCUCCAGCCAUGUAAAAUGGUGGACUAUUAAAAAAAAACUGACCUGAGGAGGAUGCUUCAUAAAUAUCACCAUCCUCAAUGUGUGCAAAAGGCUGAAGCGUCUACAACUAUAUUCAGCCAAAAAGUGCCAAGUGGAUCAGCCACCACCGCCUCCUCUCCUAGUACCCAGCAUCACACAAUCCGAUCUUUAGCGAAUUUGAUUCACUGUAUAGGGGAUCAAGAAAUAGUUGAAGAUACUGGCUCCUACAAAGGAUAUGGACCGUGACAACAUCCUGACAGUAGAACUGAACACUUAUUCUCCAGAAGUAGCCAUGUCCUAGCCAUGCUGUUCUUGUAUCAGUGGCAUGUAUCUAACAAAGUGAGAAAUUAGCCAGGAAAAUUGUUUAGAAAUUCACUCUUGUCAAUUACUGCCCAAGCAAUCUAUUCCUGACCAUCAGCAAAGCAAUGGAGUUGUCACAUCUGUGCUAUCAAGUGGCAUUUACACAACAAUAACCUGCUCGCAACACUCAGUUUGGGUUCUACCAGAUCCACUCAGAUCGUGACUUCAUUACGUCUUUGUCUAAACAUGGAGAAAAAAACUGAACUCUACAAGUGAGUGUAGAGUGGCAUCAAGACAGCAUUUUAAUCAGUAAGAGAAUCAAGGGUUAUAGGGAUUAUGUAGGAAAGUGGAGUUGAGGAUUAUCAAUUCAACCAUGAUCUCAUUGAAUGUCUGAACAGAUACAAAGGGCCUUCUGCUCCUCCAUCUUAUGGCCCUGUGGCUAACUAAACGACUUUAAAAAGAAAUGCGGCACUAGAUAUUACAAGAUCAGAAGUUAGAACGGAAAAUCAAUAGUUAAAUUAUUCCUUCCCUUCUAUUCCCUGAGUAUACUUCUGUAAGCAUAAACAUGAACAAAGUAUCUCCAUACCGAAAGGGAAUAAACAGAGUUAAUUAUCACAAGGAUUUCUUACACUUUCCUGUUUGGCUAAUUUUAUUAUGAUGGAGAUGAGCUGUUCCCCCACAUGUGAGUUCAGUAGUCCAAAGUACAUGAUUUGGUACAUGGAAUGUGCAGCCUAAAGAGGUGAUGGAGAUAGAUACUGUUGGAACAUUUAAAAAGCAUCUGAAUGAGUACUUAAAAUACCAGGACACUGUAGGCAACAGACCAAGUGCAGGUAAAUGGGAUUAGUGUAGUUUGAUGUUUGUUGGUCAACAUAGACAUGGUGACUUGAAGGGCCUGUUUCCAUGCUCUAUGACUCUAUGAGUCAAUGACUAUGACAAAGGCUUCCUCCACAACGUGCCCUAAUAAAACAUCACCAAGGAAGUGUCAAAGGUGCACUCUGUCAGAUGUGAGCUUCACCCCAAAUUCACACCAUGCCAAUUAAAAAUUAACUGUAGCCUUUUUAACAACUGAAUUAGAAAGAGCUGUUCCAUCUCUACAUGCAAAUAUAUUAACGGAGUAAAGAUUUUGCAAAUAGUUUCUUCAUGAAAACAUGAUAAAAUGAGUUUAUAAGGGAUGACCUGUAAAAGCAUUAUGAAAUGUCACUCUAUUUUACAAGUGGAAACCUUGUCUCCUAUACAUGAGGCUGGAAACACAACUUAUCAGUUUACUGUGCCACAAAUAGGCCAGGAUAGCCAGCUGCCAAUAGUUAAAAAGCAGCAGGAAACACAAGAGGUGAGUGAAAGAGGUUGCAUCUGAGAUUCCAUGUGAACCAUACGUUAUUGUCUCAGAGCUGCCUGUUCAUCAUCUGUGCCAGAGUUGAGGAGGCCUGAUCUGGGGGCCCUGCAGGCAAAACGUAUCCGUGAACAAAUCUGGUUGAUUUAAAGCAGAAACUAAAAUUCAGCACCCCCAUGUUUAUUGUUGGUUGCAGACUGUAUUUCUUAUGAAAUGAUUGUUCUCACAAACAUUAACUCCUUUAAUUGAAAUUGCAAUCUAGUCUAACAACAGUAUUCUUUUUAAAAGUAAGAAGUGUCUAAUUGCUUAAUAGAUCUCCACUGAUUUUAAAAGUUACUUUCAUACUAGCAAGCUAACAGAAACUGAAUGAUGUUUUCUGAAACCCUUCGGGCAAGACAAGGUUAGAGAAUGAUCUCAGGGUGGUUGGAUUCCAUGGGUGCAGAGCGCUCGGUUGCAAAGAAAGAGCUGAAUUGCAGGCCGUUGGAGAGAAACCAGAGAAAUUGGCCAAGUGGUAGCAUUGAUAGGUCCUGAAUUUGGAGGCUUGCAGAAUUUGGGGACAACUGUUGAAGGAGCUGAGAUCUCAUCCAUGGAAGGAGGAUAUUAAGCUAAAUGAUCAGCCAUGAUCAUAAUGAAUGGUGUAGCAAGCUCAAGGGAUCAAAUAGUCUACUUCUGCUCUUAUUUUCUAUAUUUCUAUAUGUUUUUGUGGCUACCUUUUCCCAAAGAUGUCUGUGUGUUUUAAGGAAGUGACCCCUGUGAACUGACGCCAAAUGAUAAUAGUCACCUUCAUGCCUCUUGUUUACUUCUUUGAGAGGUGAAACAUCAGCAUCAGUACCCACCAUUUCCGAUGGAACAACAUCAACCUCUAAGGAUGAGAACUUCCACAAGGGCUGCACAACCCAGCAUGGGCAGGGAAGUAAAUCCAGACCACGAUCACUGCAGUGUCCUAUUCUGAGAAUAUGUGACUACCACCAUUGAAAGUCUGGCAAACGUCAUGAAGGGCAAAACUCAGUAGCUCACUGAAGGGAUAUUUGGCCUGCACUCCAACCUGCAUUCCAUCACCUUGUCUCUGAGUUCAGCUACCAAAAGCCAAGGCAAGAGGGGCAUGGAAUCACAGUCAGGGCUUGGCUGCUCUCAGGAAAGCAGGAACUGCACAGCCAUGAAUAAACUGCUCCAUCACCAUCAGGGAACACCUUUCAGGGCACUUGUGAAAGUGACUGCCUCUUCUUCUACCUCUUCCAUUGGCACAAAUCCCUCUGAGUGCAUUAGUGAUGCGCUGAUUUUGAUGUGGAUGGACUGCAUGCUGUCAAGGGAGGUCUAAUCUCAUUUGGGCUCCUCUGAUUGGCCACUUAGGGUAACAGUACAUUGGCACAAUGUACAGACGGCCCCGGUUUUGAUUAAGUGGGAGCUAACAAGAGAAAAUGGGUGUGGCUAGGAUGUUUUAUAGAUUAAAUUACAAAUUGUUAGUUACGUCUUGGUAUUAUUAGAGAAUCUUGCAUCUCACUGAGAUCCAAUGCAUCCUGUACACCAGCUUGUGCAAUUGGCCAACAAGGCUCAGCUAUGUCAUCAAGAGUCUCAUCCUCUGAUUCCAUACGCUAUCUAAUCCUCCUCAGACAGGGCUUCCCCUCUCUGGGAGCACCAGGUUGAAACGGGCACAACAGAAACAACCAGAGUGAGACUCCAACAGUGGAAUAUUGAUGGGAACUUCUUAACCAGUGGAAACAUCAUAAAAGGCAUGACAGUCAAUAGAUAAUGGUUAAUAUUCAAACAAUGAAUGUUUGCAUUGCAACACCUACAUAGUCUUUUCAGCAGAGAACACAACUGGAAAACUAGCCCAAUCAUAGAUAAUGAAAGAAAUGUGGAUAAUUUUAGAUCCAAAAAGGAGACAUUUAAAGUCGCUUGAAAAAGUAGCAAGCUUGAGGAUUGGGAGCAAUUUAUAAUUCAGCAAAGGAGGACCAAGAAAAUGAUUCAGAAUGAAGAAACAGUGUAUGUGAGUAGAGUUGCAAGGAACAACAAUGCAGACUGUAGGAGUUUUUAUAUAUAUUGGCACUAUAUGAAAAGGAGGGAGGAAGAAAGCUGGAAAUUAUAAAUUGUUUAGCCUAAUAUCAGUAGUAGAGAAAAUGCUGGACUCUAUUAUAAAGAAUGUGGUAACAGGAUACUUCAAAAAUACCAACAGGAUUACAUAAAGUUAAUGUAGAUUUAUUAAACUUAAAUUAUAUUUGACAAAGCUACUGAAUUUUUGAGCAUUUAGUAAGUAGAACAGAUGAGGGAGGACCAGUGGGCGUGGUGUAUUUGGAUUCUCAAAAAGCUUUUGAUAAAGUUCCACAUGAGAGAAUAAUGUGCAAAAUCAAAGCACAUGUUAAUAUAUUGCCUUAGGUUGAGAAUUGGUUAGUAGAGAGGAAACAGAAAUCCAGAGUAAAUUUAUAGAGAUGGAAGGCAGUGAUUCAUAGGGUACUACAGAGAUCAGUGCCCAGACUUCAACUAUUCACAACAUAUACCAAUGAUUUGGAUGAGGGAAUUAAAUAUAAUAUUCCAAGUUUGCUCAUGACACAAAACUAGUUGAGAUUGUGAGUGAUCAGAAAGGGUCUAAAAAUGCCUCAGAGUGACGUAGACAAGUUGAGCAAGUGGGCAAAUGAAUGUCCAGAUGCAGUAUAACAUUGGUAAUUUUGAAGUUGUCCACUAUGAUAAGGAAAUUAAAAUGACAGAAUAUUUCUUAAAUAGUGAUAGAUUGGGAAAUGUAGCUGUACAAAGGGACGUGGGAGUCCUUACACACAGGCCACUAAAAGCAAGUAUGCAGGUACACCAAACAAUUAUGUGUUUUCCUUCAUUGCAAGAGCAUUUGAAUUUAGAAAUAAGGAUGUCUCAUUGCAGUUGUUCAAAUUGCUGUGUGAGACCACUCCUGGAGUGUUUUGUGCAAUUUUAGUCUCCUUAACUAAGAAAAAAAUAGACUUGCCAUUGAAGCAUAACAACAAAGGUUCCCAGAAUGAUUCCUAGGAUGGCAGGUCUGUCACAUAAGAACAGAUGGGUUGACUAAGCUUGCAUUCUCUGGAGUUUAGAAGAACAAGAGGGAAUUUCAUUGAACAAUUUAACAUUCUGACAGGGCUAGACUGAUCAAUGCAAGGGUGAUGCAUUCCCUGGCAAGAGGUCCAGAACAAGGGGGUCACAGUCUCAGGUUAUGUGGGUCAUUUCAGGCUGAGAGGAGGGGAAUUUUCUUCAUUCAGAGGGUGGUGAGCCUGCAGAAUUCUCUAUCACAAAAAGGUUGUGGAGGCAAAGCCACUAAAUAUAUUAAAGAAGUAAAAAAGUGAAUUUCUUGAGGCUAAAGGUGCCAAGGGGUAUGAGGAGAGAGUGAGAUAAUGAUAAAGGAUCAGCCUUGCUCAUGCUGACUGGUGGAGCAGACCCAUUGGGCUGAAUGGCCUUCUAUGUUCCUAUAUUUCUAUUCCAUUUUAGCUGAGCAAUAGUCUCUGAGCAGCGACCCUUAUGGUAUCUCUCCUCAGACUCAGUGUGAGAAUUUCAGAUUGGAGUCUUGAACCAUCUCUUGCUUGCCAGCUAGUGUACACACUUUUGCCUGUUUAUACAAACUACACAUUGAUGGAAGAGUAAGGAACCUCUUCAGUUUAACAAAUGCCCCUGGCUGUCUCCAAGGUCCUUUAAUUGCCAGACAUGUGCAAUCCAAGGUCCCUUAUACUUUCAGCACUGCUGAAAAGUCAGUAAAGCAUCUGGAUCAGUUUGCCUGACUGGAGUUGCCAGUGCUAAAUAAAAUGAAUUGAUGGACAGGACUGAAGAUUGCAUCUGUAAAAUCUUUGCACGGUGAUGAAUCACUGCUGUGAUAUUUUACACAGCUCUCCUGAUGAUGCCUGAAAUGACACAAGAGUGAAAAAUUUCAGGACCAUUGCCACAGGCAUUGGGUUAACUCCAACACAAUCUCUCCAGCCAACAUGUGGCACAAUGAUAAGACUGUCUCUAUGGAGAGACACAGUCUUCUCAGGCACUGAUGCGCUGACAUUCGGAGUUAUGCCAUUCUUUACCAGUAUUCUCUGAUAGCACAACAAUGGCCAUGCCUACCUAUACCUGCUGUUGCUGCCUCUCCACAAGCUCUUGCUGAGUAGCAGGCUCCACACUAUCAUCCUCCUCCAGAAACCUUUUCCCAUUGGACAAUGCUUACAUGGUCCAGAAGCCAAUAAUAGGGUGCAGGUCGAGAGAGUGUGUGUGUGUCAGAGAGAGAGAGAGACAGACAGAGAGAGAGAGAGAGAGAGAGAGAAACAGAUAGAUGGACACAGGCCCAUGUUCAGCAGACAUGUUAGGCAGACUUAGCCACAUCUUUAAAGGCCUCAGGGAAAUAUACCAAUUAAAGCAAUUAGCAUUGAGUGAAUGCACAGAAAUUUGCCAAAAAUAAAACUGAUUACAGCUAUGCUAGCUAAACAGACCUUCAAUGUAGUGAUAGGGGUGACCUUCAUUGAGGUUUGAGAGUCUGUAAGAUUAUUGUUUAGGAUAGAAGAACUGAAUCUUUCUUUCUGAUAUUUAAGAUGCGUUUGUUCCAAUAGUCCUUGUCAAAUAUAGCAUGGUUCAAGUUUUUCAUUUGUGUAAUAAACAUUUAUGUUCUUUCAUUCAAUA